rnacentral:rRNA from 1 species
AUGAACGCUGGCGGCGUGCCUAAUACAUGCAAGUCGAGCGAACAGAUGAGGAGCUUGCUCCUCUGACGUUAGCGGCGGACGGGUGAGUAACACGUGGAUAACCUACCUAUAAGACUGGGAUAACUUCGGGAAACCGGAGCUAAUACCGGAUAAUAUAUUGAACCGCAUGGUUCAAUAGUGAAAGACGGUUUUGCUGUCACUUAUAGAUGGAUCCGCGCCGCAUUAGCUAGUUGGUAAGGUAACGGCUUACCAAGGCGACGAUGCGUAGCCGACCUGAGAGGGUGCUCGGCCACACUGGAACUGAGACACGGUCCAGACUCCUACGGGAGGCAGCAGUAGGGAAUCUUCCGCAAUGGGCGAAAGCCUGACGGAGCAACGCCGCGUGAGUGAUGAAGGUCUUCGGAUCGUAAAACUCUGUUAUUAGGGAAGAACAAAUGUGUAAGUAACUAUGCACGUCUUGACGGUACCUAAUCAGAAAGCCACGGCUAACUACGUG